CCCACUUAAAACUUAAGGAAAUUGUGGCACAGAAAUGUUUAGUAAUUUUUGGUCCUUAUCACACAGCAAGUGGCGGAACCUGGAUUCAAACCCAGGCUGCCUGGUUGAAGAGCAAGUGUUUUUAAUUACUCUGCGUCUCUGUCUCACUCAUAGAGCACACUUAUUAUUUAUCCCACUUACCUAAGGGGAAGAUUAGGCUGUAAGUCACAUACAUACAUGUAUUUUUUUUUCAAUGCCGUAUUUGUGGCUAUUCCUGUUUUAUUUCAAAUUGUUCAGGAAAAGCCCAUUGCUUCCUGAUUGCUCUAAAGUGACAUGCUUAAUCCAAUCCCAGGUGUCAUACUGGUAUUCUUUCUUAGCAAUUCUAUCAAGACUUAGAUUAAAUUGACCUUAACUGUGAUCUAUAGGUUGAACUGGAUUUCCUCUAUAUCAGAUGAGAAGUAUUAUUUCUUAUAUGCUGUCAAGUAAUUGGAAAUAUUAUAAUAAUGAUAUUGAAAUUCCAUGUAAUAUUAAACUUAAUAGUUUUGUUACUGGGUCUUUAAUUUGCAAUGGAUUUCAGUGAAGAAAUGUCAUACCAUUAUAAAUGUUCACUUUAUAAAUUUAUUGCAACAGUAGGUACUGAGAUAUUCAAUAUACAAUUUUUCAAGGAUUAAUAGAAGCAAAAAUAGAAGGUUUUAAUAUGUUUGAAACAAAAGAAAGGUUUUCUUUCAACUUGGAUAUAUUGAUUAAUAAAAUGACAGGAUUUAUUCUUAUCAGCUGCCUUGAUAUUCAUUUUAUUAUGUUUAAACACCAGUAUAAUUAUUUAAUAGUUGUUAUUUAUUAAUAGGUAUUAAUUUCCUUGAAAGUACUGAUUAUAGAAUAUUUAUUUUUUAGCAUCACAAUUUUCAAGAUUUCUUUUUCUGUGAGAAAUACUCAAAUUAUAAAAAUUUUUCUUUUAUAAGUUUUCAUGCCAGAGAUUAUUUUAAUCCAUCACCAUAUUUCUAUCUUCCAUAAUACUCUUAUCAUUUUAUUGUAAUUUUAUUGUCAUUAAAUAUAACUGUGCAUAUUUUGAUCAUUUUGCAUAUUUAAUUUCAACUGAUUUUAAUUUUUAAAAAUACAUCUUUGUCAAAUCAUCUAAAUCUGUUGUGCAAAUUAGGCUUCUCAAGCCUAAAUGCACCCUUGCCUUAUUUCACUGGUCCUAUUAAGUUGCAAGCUAAAGACAGUUGCAAUAUUUUGCAACUCUUUAAUUUGCAUACUAAAUGGUCCAUAAAUUCCUUUAUUUUACAGAGCUAAUCUGUGACUUCACAAUUCUUUACUAGGUAGUGUGGAUUUAUUCAACAUGACCAGUUCUGAUUUAUCCCCAAACAAAUGAGCAAGAACUAGUCUGCCAUGCAUAGGUGGGCCAGUGUUCCCUCUUCAACUUUGUAACUUGCCACUCUAAAGGCAGAGGCAUACCACAUCACUUUGUCAAUGUCCCUCUUGGGUCAACAGUGUACAUAGGAUUGGCUUGACCUGCAAAGCCCCAGAAUGUGGAGAGUGGAUGCAAUGCAGUGAUGAGAGAGUCAGUCAAUGUUACUUAUAGGGAGUACUAUUGAGUCCUUGAAUUCUGCAUCAAGUGGUAAUUUUUAUAGCUUAGAUUCAACUUGGGAACUGCCAAGGAAGAUAGGUGUUUGCAUAUUCUUCACAGUGUCACAGAAAGAAAAAGAAAAAGCAAACUAGGAAGUAAAUACACAGCAGAGUGGAUUAGAACACAAUAAUCUAUUUUACAUCUGUGGGAUAAAAAAAAGAGAAAGUGAAACCCAUAGCAAUAUUAUAGACUGUCACUAAGCUUUAAACAUUGAUCAAAUAUAGGCAAAAUCUGAAAAUGUAAUUUGAAAUAAAUUCUUGCAGCAGACAACACAAUAUCAAGACACUGGAGAAAAAGGCAUGAAUGGAAUAGUGCUAGGGACUUUCUCCUCAGUUAUAUCUGAUUUUAAGUGUUUCUUCAAUCCCAGUGUGAAAGGAUUGGAAGUUAAUACAAUAACUAUGCUAGAGAUUAUUUCUAAUAUAUUUGUACAUGGUUAUUCUAAGUUAACUCUCUGUACAAAUUAUCCCUCUAUUCCAUGGUAUGGUUCAAUGAUUCUCAAUUAAUCCUUUCACUAUAAAGUACUUAAAUGAGAAAAAAAAGUUCUUGCAAUUUAUGCAUAGGCAUCUCAAUGUGAUAAUUUCUGGUCAAUAACUGAUUUCUAGAUCCUGGUUCCUAAAAUAGACUGGACAGCUAAGACACACUCUGCCUGGACUGCUAAAGGGACCAGGCAGAUUCCUGUUGCUGAUGUCUUAUAUUGCCUGUAUGUACAAUAGUGGCGUGUUACAACCAGAGAUUUUUAACAUCUCUGAUAAACUUCAGAAAUGUUAAUUAUAUAAAGAAGAGGCUCACAGCAUCAUAGCAUUUACAUUUACACUCUAAUGGAUUCUUAUAUUAGGUAAUAAGCUUAUUAUUACUGAGGUGCACUAGAGACAGAGAGGCUUCCAGAUAUGGCAACAGUUUUCAGUCUCAUUUACCAUUUUUUUUUAGGACAGAACUCUUACUAUACAUAAUCCAUUAAUAAAGCUGCUGGAAGAUGCUUGUUAUUGUAAAGAAUACUGCAUUCUAAAGAUAAGUGGCAUUAAUGUUACUUAGAAAAACUAAAGCUUCAAUAUUCUCUUGGGAACAAUUAGGAUUCUGUUACAUAAGUGCUAUACUAUAUCUACUUAAAUUGGUCUUCUAUAUCAUGAAAAGUAAAAAGGUAAUUAUCAAAAUGGAUAUAAAUCAAACAUGCAUUUUAGAAAAUAGUUGAACCACUUAACUCUCAGAGGAUAUAGGGCUGGAAAAUCUUUCCCCCAAUUUACUCAUCCAUUCAAACUUUACUUCCAAAAGUGAGCAGGGAUAAUUCCAUAAAUAUAUAUUUAUUAGAUUUAUAAAAUAUAGCCAGCUCAAACUGCAGAAAACUGUUUGAGACAAAACUUAUUUAAUAACUAUUGGAAGACCACUCUUAAGAGAUAUUUUUGCUACAGAAGUAGACUUUGAAAAAAAAUCCCUAAUGCUCUCUUAAGAUAUAACAUAACAGCAGAGAUAAUAUUUUCAGACAAAGUAUACUCACUCCACUGUCACAGUUCAGGACUGGAAACAAUGAGCCAAAUCAUCAGACCCUCUGGAGAAAGACAACACCAUACAAGUCCCUAUUCUUAUUAAAAUGAGAAAAUUACAUGCCUAAUUAUCUAGGGGCCACAGGAACAUGAUUAUUUUACAUUUGACAUUUGUAUUCCUCACUUAUAAUUUCUAUUUUAUUUCUUAUGAUGAAACACAUUGCUUGUAGGAAGAACAGGAACAAAACGUUAUUAUCCUUUCGUUCUCUUUUGCCUUCUCUUCACCCUUUUAUAAUUUUAUUACCCUUACCAUCAUCACUAUCACUCUAAGCUAAAAAAGCAAAAUGUGAAUAUGUGGAGUGUUGAACAUUAAAAGAAUGAUAAAGGAAAAAGUGAAAAUGAUAAAGUAAUGCUAGAGUGCAUUUGAGUUUUUUAGGUAGGAGUUACUAUAUCCAUUUCUGUUUAUAAGAUCUUUAUGAAGUAAGAAAACUGAAGAUAAGAGAGAUUAUGUAACUGACUCACAGGGUAGCUUGAUUUAAACAUAUGUACGAGCUUUAGUACCUGAGAGUCAGGGCUUCAAAUCUCAACAUAUAUUAAUUUCUUUCUUGGUGAUAGUUGGUGGGUUAAUCUCUAUCCCCUAGAAGAUUUACAUCCAAGUUCAAGUGAUUUAGAGUUAAACUCCAAAUUUUUCACUGACCCAGAGGUUGUCCCUCAAUUAAAUAAUAAGUAUUUGAAGUUCUUAGAAAGGAAAAGAGACUUUUAUGUACAUGUGCGGGGGUGGUAGUAUUGUGAACAAAGAGAAAAAUGGCAACAAUAACUACUCUUUAACACAUAGCACUAAAUUAAAACAUUUUUCCAGUUCUAAACAUUCUUUCCCAAGUGAUGGAUAUUUCCUAUGACAGCUACAGUGUCAAUGGCUCCUCAUAAAGCAUGACUGAGCUGUGCUGGAUGAUAGUAUUUAGAAUGGUGGCUAAGAGUAUGGGUUCUAUAUUUGCAUUGUCUGAAUUUAGAGCUUAGGAGUACCACUUACCAGCUGUAUGACCUAGAGUAAACCACUUAAUUUGUUUGCAUCUUAGUUUAUUAGUCUGUAAAAUGACUCAAGUUUGAAAUUAGCAAAUAGAAGGAAAGUCCUCAAAACUCUGGCAUGUAAUAAAUACCUUCUAUCUGUUUUCAUUAUUGCCAGAUCUCUUUCAGAAGUGGUGGAGGAGUGAUGUUGCCCUAAAAGAAUCAUCUAACUAUCAAGUAAAGCUGCCUGAGUACAUGACCAUAUUUCAAACUCUCCAUAGUAAUCUUUCCCACCCCCACUGUCUAUAGUCUUGCAUGGCAGGCUUAUUGAUGAGAUUUACUCAGAAUUGUAUAGUAGUGGGUGUGGUGUAUUAGUAUCCCAAGAACUAGGCAGAAGAGUGUGGAUCUAGUUCCUACAAACUCAACUGAUUUAUCUUACAUGCUUCCUGGUGUGAAAAGAUGUCCUAGGCUCAUAUUGUGUAUUUCCUAUUCAAGACUGAAUUGUUUCCAGUAAUAUAUAACAUAGAGUAUUUAUUGAGAGGUACAAAUAUUUUAUGGAUUUUAUAUUAUUAAUUCCUGAUAUUUCUAAUUCAAAUUAGGCUUAAGGGAUAUUUACUUAGCCUUGUUAAUUUUACAUCUGUUCCUCUGUAUUUUCCACACAGGAGAUCGUGGUUCGCAACAUAAUUAGUCAUUUUCAUUAUUCCACAAUAUUCAAAACAGUCUGAAAAUGGUAUUAACAAUACUAACAGAGGAAUACUAUAAGCACAUCAUUUCUUUUUCAGUUCUUUUUGUCCUUAAAGUAUAUUCUAUUCUAGAUAUACAUAAAGUUACUCUUUUAAAUGUGCCUUUACAGAGUUAAAUCAAAAAACAAGAUAUAUUCAGAAUAGUCUGGUAGUUAUCCUCUUUCCUUUACUGUUUCUUCUCUUUUCACCUAUAGACACCUAUUUUGUUUUUAUGUUAUUGUUUGUUUUUGAUAAAUAAUAGCACAGUAUAGUAUAUACAGGUUUUUCUCCACUUUGUUCUUCCACUUAGCACUACAUCUUGGCAUAUCCUAGAGGUCACUUUAUUACACUGUGGAGACACAUGCACCAUUCUUUUUUACUAUGAAAUGUACUAUGAUAAUUUGGAUAUAAUCUACUUUAUUUCACUACAAUGUUGGGCAUUUGUACUUUUGUCUAUUGCUAUUAUGCAUUAUGUUGUAAUAGACUUGCAAAUUGUUAAUACAUCUUUCUUGUGUUUCUUUAUUGUUGUUUUAUAUUGUUUUGUUGGUGGUGGUGCUUUCAUUGACAUAACUUUGAGAUAUACUUCUAGAAGUAUGGCUACUGGACCAAAAGGUACAAGCUUAUGUAAUUUUGCUAAAUAUUACCACAUUUCUGUCUAAACUUUUUACCCCUACUAGUGAUAUAUAAGUGUCUAUAUUUCUACUGUGAAAGGUUCCCAUGAGGAUGGAGACAGAACCCCCUCCCUCUCCAUCCCCCAAAUGUGGCUGGGCUGUUCACCUUGGAGACCUUCUGUGGACACCCUCUCCAGGAAUGUGGAUGCUCAAAGUGGGCAACAAGAAACGAUAGAACUAGAGACUCUUAUACUGAGUGAAGUAAGUCAGAAAGAGAAAGAGAAAUACCAUAUAACAUCACUCAUAUCUGGUAUCUAAUAUACAGCACAAAUGAACCUUUCCACAGAAAAGAAAAUCAUGGACUUGGAGAAUAGACUUGUGGUUGCCAAGGGGGAGGGGGAGGGAGUGGGAGGGAUUGGGAGUUUGGGGUUAACAGAUGCAAACUAUUGCUCUUGGAGUGGAUUUACAAUGAGAUCCUGCCAUGUAGCAGUGAGAACUAUGUCUAGAUACUUACUUAGAUACUUAUGUCUAGAUACAGCAUGACAAUGGGAGAAAAAAUUAUGUAUACAUGUAUGUGUAACUGGGUCCCCAUGCUGUACAGUGGGGGGAAAAAAAAGUGUGUU
rnacentral:lncRNA from 1 species